rnacentral:rRNA from 1 species
CACGUAGGGUGCGAGCGUUGUCCGGAAUUAUUGGGCGUAAAGAGCUCGUAGGCGGUGUGUCGCGUCGGCCGUGAAAACCUGCAGCUUAACUGUGGGCUUGCGGUCGAUACGGGCAUCACUGGAGUUCGGCAGGGGAGACUGGAAUUCCUGGUGUAGCGGUGAAAUGCGCAGAUAUCAGGAGGAACACCGGUGGGCGAAGGCGGGUC